GAUGAACGCUAGCGGCAGGCUUAAUACAUGCAAGUCGAGGGGCAGCACAGGUAGCAAUACUGGGUGGCGACCGGCAAACGGGUGCGGAACACGUACACAACUUACCUUAGAGUGGGGGAUAGCCCAGGGAAACUUGGAUUAAUACCCCAUAAAACAGGGGGCCCGCAUGGGCAUAUUGUUAAAGAUUUAUCGCUUUAAGAUGGGUGUGCGUAUGAUUAGGUAGUUGGUAGGGUAAAGGCCUACCAAGCCGACGAUCAUUAACUGGUGUGAGAGAACGACCAGUCACACGGGCACUGAGAAACGGGCCCGACUCCUACGGGAGGCAGCAGUAAGGAAUAUUGGUCAAUGGACGGAAGUCUGAACCAGCCAUGCCGCGUGAAGGAUGAAGGUCCUCUGGAUUGUAAACUUCUUUUAUAGGGGGCGAAAAAGGGCCAUUCUUGGUCAACUGACGGUACCCUAUGAAUAAGCACCGGCUAACUCCGUGCCAGCAGCCGCCGUAACAC
rnacentral:rRNA from 1 species